GACGAACGCUGGCGGCGUGCCUAAUACAUGCAAGUCGAACGCAGUGGGGACGGGUGAGUAACACGUGGGUAACCUCCCAUCAGAGGGGAUAAAACUUGGAAACAGGUGCUAAACCGAUACUGAUGGAUGGACUCGCGGUGCAUUAGCUAGUUGGUGGGGGAACGGCCCACCUAGGCCACGAUGCAUAGCCGGCCUGAGAGGAUGAUCAGCCACACUGGGACUGAGACACGGCCCAGACUCCUACGGGAGGCAGCAGUAGGGAAUCUUCAGCAAUGGGCGAAAGUCUGAUCGAGCAACGCCGCGUGAAUGAAGAAGGUUUUCGGAUCGUAAAGCUCUUUUGUUAGAGAAGCGGUAUCUGACCAGGAAGCCACGGCUAACUACGUGCCAGCAGCCGCGGUAAUAC
rnacentral:rRNA from 1 species